AGCAGGCUCCAGGAUCUGAGCAGUCAUCACACAGCCCGACGCGGGGCUUGAACUCACGGACCGCGAGAUCAUGACCUGAGCCGAAGUCGGACGCUCAACAGACCGAGCCACCCAGGCACCCCGGGGCGUCUUCUUUUGAUGAGGACACAGUCAUGUUGGAUUAGGAUCCCACCCUUUUCCACUCUGAGCGCAUCUCCGCUGAUUACUUCUCCGAUGACCUUACUUCCAAAUAUCACGUUCUGAGGUCCCGUUUAAGACGCGUCGGCCUAUCUUUCUGUGGGGACACGAUUCAACCCACUCGCUAGUAGUGUAACCAAGAGAACCUUCCUCAAGUCAGUAGAAACAUCUCCCUAAACCUGCUGUUGAAGGAAAGCGGAAGGGUAACCGUCUUUUAGUUUCUGCUUAUUUCUCGCAUUGUCUGUGCCUGAGCCGGGUUGACGGGUGUGCAGCUGCCAGAGCCUCUGAUUCCGAGCCAUCCAAGCCGUCGGGAGCCCUGAGUACGUCGUCUUCCAGUUGGCUAGCUCAGCGACUCAGAUGGAAAGUAAAGAGAUGAUGUGACUCCGUCCACAUGGAGACAUGAGCUUGUGUUGCGUAUUUUAACUUUACAGACCGUGUUUGUGCUGUAGUGCCUUUACGCUUCUCGUGGCAAACAGUCUGGAAUGUCAUUAAAACUUUUCCAGUAAAAUGUGCAAAUUUUGGCAAAACAAA